GUGACUGAUCCCAGCUGGGCAGCCUGCAUUCCCUCCCCAAAAACACCCCUUGAUCCCACCCCCACACCCCUGCAGUGCCUCUCUCUGAGAGGGCAGAGUAGGGAAAGCUAACGAGUUAACCACAGGGCUUCUGAUUCUGCACAGCUUUUGGGGGGCAGCUGUGGGUGGGGGCAGGUUAGGGAGCAAAGCUGAAAAUAAACCAAGCAGGGCAGCUUCUUUCGGAUGGCUGGCUCCCUCUCAUCUUUUCUCCAUUGCUCCAUUUUUCUCUUCUCCUUUCCCCCUUCUCCCUCCGUCUGUCUUAUCAGGUCUCUCUUCCGCCUUGAUCCACCUCCUAUCCUUCCAUGUAACUUUCCUUUUCUUCUGUCUCCCUUUUUUUGGUCUCUCUUGACCCUCCCUGGCAAGGAAUAAGUGAGCCACGAUUUCUAUUCUAGUUUCUCUCUUGUACCACUGCUCCUCGUCAGGAUGGCUCCCUUCCAUUUUGUCCCAAGUUAAAGCCCCAGUUGGCCCCCAGCUCCAGGUCAGAGGAGGGCAGGUGACUUAGGUCUAGAGGGGGUCCCCACCUCAUCCUGUGCCUCCUCCUAGCUGCCCACCCCUCUCCUCCUCUCUACGGGGGUCAGAAGGCAGAACCAGGGGACUCGAGUAUCUUGCAAAGGCUUUAUUUGAAAAUUUUGAAACUUACAUCCCACAGUAAUUCAAGAUGAUCACCACAAGAAGAAGAAAGAGAUAAUACAAAAAUAUAUAUCACAGCCUAGGAGCCAGGGAAGAAGGGAAGGAGGAAGGUGGAAAAACCAGUGAGAAGGAGGGAAGAACCUGAGGAGGGGGAAAGGGCAGGGAAGCAAAAGGAAGGAGAGUGGAAGGAAGGAGGGAGGAAAGGAGGGGACAGGAGGGAGUCCGGGAAGGGAAGGGUAGACUUGGAGUUAGGGAGGCCCAAAGGGAGGCUGGGAAGGGAGGACUGGCUCAGGGGGCUCUGAAGUCCAGAGAAUGGCACACACACAGACAGCCAGGACAGACAAGACAAAAGGGACUGUAGGAGAAAGGGAAGGGCAAAUGGGAGUCCCUUUCUCAUGUAGUGCAGCAGGCGACUCCCCAAAACCCAUCUGUCAGAAAACAGAUUUUAGCAGUGGGCUGGGGGUGAAGUCUGGGGCCUCACUACCCCAUUCCCAAGGGGGAGCCCUCAGGGUGAUGCCGGCAUCCUUGGAGUAGGAUGGGGAGACAGAGAAACAAAUGGUGUGGAAUGGGACGAGACCAUGACCGAUGAGGGCCCAAGGAGCCCCCAGCUCACCUCCCACCCACCUCUGGAGCAGCACGCAGGGGCUGCGGAAACGAGGUGGGUGGGUGUUCAUGAGGGAGAGAGUGAGCACGCCGCACACCACCACAACAUCAGGCCGGGAAACGCACAUGAGAGGUAAAGUGUGCAGGAAACGCUGACCACUGAGUGAGCUGAGCACAGAAUGUGGGAAGGAGAGAGUGCAAAUGUGAGACGAGAGAACAUGAGAGUCAGCUGAGCGGAGCGGUAUGGACGGGGAGAGGGUGCAGGAGCGUGUGCAAAUGGCCUGUGAAGGUGGAGGUGAGUGUGCAAGGCUUUCAUGUGAGUGCACAAGGGUGGGGACAGGGACCCGAAGUCACAGAUAUGUGAGGCCCCCACCUGCAGGAGGGC
rnacentral:lncRNA from 1 species